rnacentral:lncRNA from 1 species
UGUGGGUGUAAUGUUUUAUAGUAAUAGAAGACAAAAGUAGUAAGUUAUAGAUAAAGUGAAACUAUAAUUGAAAGUAUUAGGCACCUUGAAAAGUAGUAAAUAGAAAAGAAAAGGAAGGCAUGAGCAUGACUUGUUCAAAGCAAGUACUAUCUAGAUUCCUUUUGGGUACCCCAAUUAAUGCUUGAAUUUCAAGAUCAUAAAAGCAACCGUGUUCGGUGUUGUUGAUUGUACCCUGAGGCCUCGAACACGAAGCACAGACCCAUUCAAAUCCAAAAAGAACACAGCGUUGAGCUUGUGCCUUAAAUUUUUAGCUCAAUGCCUUAAGCUAACCACUUACUUCUACCUUUGGAAUGAGUCUUCUCUUCUCAAUAAGUUGUAAAUAAUUUCAGUAAGAUAAAAAAUCUGGAUACGCGCACCAUCCCACUCGGUUCACGCGGUCCAAACACAUCUUAUUUAUACCAACGUCGGCACUGCUCACCCUUCACUUACUUUCCAUUUCAAUCUUCAUUUUCCGAUCACCGUUUUUUGGAACAUAUGGCUGCAUCACCACCCAGAUUGAUCCCUGAAAGGGGUCAAGUUCUGAAGAGGAUCCUAAAAAUGGUGGUUGCUUGUUUCAUGUGUGCUCCUGAGUCUUCUUCCGAUUCUCAUAAUCACAAAACCUCUUCUUCUUCAGUCUUUCCGGCGUCACCUCCUUCCCGUCUCUGAACUCAUUCCUCGCUUUUCGUGUUAACCUUUGACAACUUGUCAAAAAUGGAUUCUGGGUCUGUUGGGUUCUGUUGGUUUAUUCAAGAACAUUGCUCUUCACCUCCUUAACGUUAAUUUUGUGUGCGUCUUAUGUUGUAACGUUGUAGCGACAACUCAAUUUUGUUUAGUUUCAUGUAGAUUCAGCCCCUCCCCGCUUUGAUCCCGGGCCUGCAAAAUUUGAAGAAAAAAAUUUACUUUUGAAUGUGAAAGUCUUUCUUAUCGGUCGGAAAUGCUGAUUUGAUCCGAAGAUUUUAAAUGUACUUUAUAUUUGUGUUAUGGGAGUAUUCGAGAUCGCGUCUCGACAUCUCCACAACAGCUCCCAACACAGCAUAAUUAUAAAUAUAACUUAAUUACGUAAUUAAUAAACACAACAUGAUAAUUAUUCAUAAAUCAUGAUUAAGACAACACUAGAACUAUUUGCACUACUAUGCUCAUUCAUAUAUAGAGAAAUCUAACAAAUUAAUAUAAAUAGAUAAACACAUAUGUAAUUGAUCUUACACUCUCCAAUUAAAUUGAGAAUUGACUUGAAUUCGUAAGAGUACAAUUGCAGGUAACUUUACCAAGAUCGAAAACCAAGGACAAAUCAAGAGUUGAAGAUUGAAACAAGAGCCAAUAUCAAGUUAUAAGUAUAAAAGACAUCACAGCAAGAAAAUUUAGGUGCCCACUGUGAGGCCAAAAAAAAGUUCUAGUGAAAAAGUCACAUGGUAACCACAAGAAACAUGACGGGUAAUGCAUUCUAAAGGAAAUCAAGAACCAUCAUGCUGAUCUAGUGACAAUGAUGGUAAAACUUAGAAAGGAGCUAGAAUCACUAAAGAGAAAAAAUGCAUAAGAGAUAGAUUCUUUGAGAAUGGGAAACAUGUGGAUGAGACAAAAACCUGUGAGCAAUGGGACGAUUUUGCUACCCACUGAAACAUCUUCAGACCCAAUAGGUUCCAAUCUAAAUACUUAAUAGAGAACACAUGAGAUUAAUAGGCUCCCACCACGUGUACACUAAAGUGUUUGCUUCAAUGAAUACCUUU